UACGGAGGAUCCAAGCGUUAUCCGGAAUUACUGGGCGUAAAGAGUUGCGUAGGCGGCAGGUAAAGCGGAGUGUGAAAUCGUGUGGCUCAACCAUACGGCUAUGCUCUGAACUCACCAGCUAGAGAACGAGAGAGGUCACUGGAAUUCCUAGUGUAGGAGUGAAAUCCGUAGAUAUUAGGAGGAACACCGAUGGCGAAGGCAGGUGACUGGCUCGUUUCUGACGCUCAGGCACGAAAGCGUGGGGAGCAAACGGG
rnacentral:rRNA from 1 species